CAGUAGCCACGGUAAUACGGAGGGGGCUAGCGUUGUUCGGAAUUACUGGGCGUAAAGCGCACGUAGGCGGCUUUGUAAGUCAGAGGUGAAAGCCUGGAGCUCAACUCCAGAACUGCCUUUGAGACUGCAUCGCUUGAACGUCGGAGAGGUGAGUGGAAUUCCGAGUGUAGAGGUGAAAUUCGUAGAUAUUCGGAAGAACACCAGUGGCGAAGGCGGCUCACUGGACGACUGUUGACGCUGAGGUGCGAAAGCGUGGGGAGCAAACAGGAUUAGAUACCCGUGUAGUCCCUGUCUCUUAUAC
rnacentral:rRNA from 1 species